rnacentral:rRNA from 1 species
CCUACGGGUGGCAGCAGUGGGGAAUAUUGCACAAUGGGCGAAACCCUGAUGCAGCGACGCCGCGUGAGUGAAGACGUAUUUCGGUACGUAAAGCUCUAUCAGCAGGGAAGAAAAUGACGGUACCUGACUAAGAAGCCCCGGCUAACUACGUGCCAGCAUCCGCCGUAAUACGUAGGGGGCAAGCGUUCUCCGGAUUUACGGGGUGUAAAGGGAGCGUAGACGGCAGCGCAAGUCUGGAGUGAAAUCCCAUGGCUUAACCAUGGAACUGCUUUGGAAAAUGUGCAGCGAGAGUGCAGGAGAGGUAAGCGGAAUUCCUAGUGUAGCGGUGAAAUGCGUAGAUAUUAGGAGGAACACCAGUGGCGAAGGCGGCUUACUGGACUGUAACUGACGUUGAGGCUCGAAAGCGUGGGGAGCAAACAGGAUUAGAUACCCCGGUAGUC